rnacentral:rRNA from 1 species
AGCGAACGCUGGCGGCAGGCCUAACACAUGCAAGUCGAACGAACCUUUCGGGGUUAGUGGCGGACGGGUGAGUAACACGUGGGAACGUGCCUUUAGGUUCGGAAUAACUCAGGGAAACUUGUGCUAAUACCGAAUGUGCCCUUCGGGGGAAAGAUUAAUCGCCUUUAGAGCGGCCCGCGUCUGAUUAGCUAGUUGGUUGAGGUAAUGGCUCACCAAGGCGACGAUCAGUAGCUGGUCUGAGAGGAUGAUCAGCCACAUUGGGACUGAGACACGGCCCAAACUCCUACGGGAGGCAGCAGUGGGGAAUCUUGCGCAAUGGGCGAAAGCCUGACGCAGCCAUGCCGCGUGAAUGAUGAAGGUCUUAGGAUUGUAAAAUUCUUUCCCCGGGGACGAUAAUGACGGUACCCGGAGAAGAAGCCCCGGCUAACUUCGU